AUUGAACGCUGGCGGCAGGCCUAACACAUGCAAGUCGAGCGGCAGCGGGAAAGUAGCUUGCUACUUUUGCCGGCGAGCGGCGGACGGGUGAGUAAUGCCUGGGGAUCUGCCCAGUCGAGGGGGAUAACUACUGGAAACGGUAGCUAAUACCGCAUACGCCCUACGGGGGAAAGCAGGGGACCUUCGGGCCUUGCGCGAUUGGAUGAACCCAGGUGGGAUUAGCUAGUUGGUGAGGUAAUGGCUCACCAAGGCGACGAUCCCUAGCUGGUCUGGGAGGAUGAUCAGCCACACUGGAACUGAGACACGGUCCAGACGCCUACGGGAGGAAGCAGUGGGGAAUAUUGCACAAUGGGGGAAACCCUGAUGCAGCCAUGCCGCGUGUGUGAAGAAGGCCUUCGGGUUGUAAAGCACUUUCAGCGAGGAGGAAAGGUUGGUAGCUAAUAACUGCCAGCUGUGACGUUACUCGCAGAAGAAGCACCGGCUAACUCCGUGCCAGCAGCCGCCGUAACAC
rnacentral:rRNA from 1 species